AGUCUUAUAGUCAAAAAUGAUAUUAAAUUGCAAAUUUAAAGGUAAAGGUUACUUUUAAGGCUU
rnacentral:tRNA from 1 species